UACGGGGGGGGCAAGCGUUGUUCGGAAUCACUGGGCGUAAAGGGUGCGUAGGCGGGUCUUUAAGUAAGGGGUGAAAUCCUGGAGCUCAACUCCAGAACUGCCUUUGAUACUGAAGAUCUUGAGUUCGGGAGAGGUGAGUGGAACUGCGAGUGUAGAGGUGAAAUUCGUAGAUAUUCGCAAGAACACCAGUGGCGAAGGCGGCUCACUGGCCCGGUACUGACGCUGAGGUGCGAAAGCGUGGGGAGCAAACAGG
rnacentral:rRNA from 1 species